rnacentral:rRNA from 1 species
UACAGAGGGUGCAAGCGUUGUUCGGAAUUAUUGGGCGUAAAGGGCGCGUAGGCGGUUCGGCAAGUCUCUAGUGAAAUCUCAGGGCUCAACUCUGAGUCUGCUGGGGAAACUGCCGGGCUUGAGUGUGGGAGAGGAGAGUGGAAUUCCCGGUGUAGAGGUGAAAUUCGUAGAUAUCGGGAGGAACACCGGUGGCGAAGGCGGCGACCUGGGUAGAUACUGACGCUGAGGCGCGAAAGCGUGGGGAGCAAACAGG